GGUAAACGCUGGCGGCGUGCCUAAACAUGCAAGUCGAACGCAUGACUUUUUGGAGUUGUGAGUGGCAGACGGCUGAGUAACGCGUGGGUGACCUGUCCUCGAGUGGGAAUAACUGCCCGAAAGGGUGGCUAAGACCGCAUGAGCUUCAUCUGUCGGAAGGUGGAGGAAAACCUCGUGAGGGGUGCUGGAGGAGGGGCCCGCGUCCGAUUAGCUGGUUGGUGAGGUAACGGCUCACC
rnacentral:rRNA from 1 species